UGCGUUUCUCUUUUCUUUGAUACCCAGAGAUUUAAGGCACCAUUUGAUGAGCCGUUUUGUUCUACAAAUAGCCUUGUCAAUCCUCUCCAUUUUCCCUCAAACCUUACAGAACGAGAGCCACCAGGCUGCUCGCAAACCAUCUCACAAUCUCGCGGAAACUGCUGACGUUCGUUGACGACUACGGUGGAUACCGGCGUCCCCUUGACCUCCCUCUGCCUCCAUUCGAUUCCUUGAUUCCUUGGGCACCUACCUGCCAAGGUUUUGUGCUUUUUCUUGUUCUGGUUCGACAGGUUCGUCGGCGACCGACGCCACAGUCCACGGGAGCAUCUCUGACGAGUGAUUCCGGCUGACUCCUUCCGCUCCGUCGUCGUCUACUUCGCCAUCAACCUCGUCUCGACUUCGUGCGUUGAUAGGUAUAACCCAAGCUUCCUAAAUCCUUGUAUAUCACUGGGAACGGCUGAUGCCAACGCCGCCCGCCGUGACGCCAACGACCAUGGCGAGCCGGAGGACCGCCGGAGACGACACCCGAAUUCCGCCGAAGUGCGCCGCCUCCGUUCGCUUGUAGCGGCCAGGCAGGGCAGAGGAAAACGCCGUCGUGCACUCGUAGCCGUGAAGCUGCUUUCCGUCGACCACCUUACUGUUGCACAGCGCCGGCAACCACCACGACCAAGCAUCGCCAAUAUCGUACGGAGUGCAACGAGUGUGAAUUGUGAGAAGUGUAUGAUCAUCAAAUACCAAAAGGCAAGUGUCACUUUUUCACUGUCCUACUGUUCCCUAAAUAUAUUCUAGGAUUUCACUAGUAGUGCAUGUGUAGGAUUAUUUUUAUUAUAUACGC